rnacentral:rRNA from 1 species
CCUACGGGAGGCAGCAGUGAGGAAUAUUGGUCAAUGGUCGGGAGACUGAACCAGCCAAGCCGCGUGAGGGAGGAAGGUACAGAGUAUCGUAAACCUCUUUUGUCAGGGAACAAAGGCGGGGACGUGUCCCCGGAUGAGUGUACCUGAAGAAAAAGCAUCGGCCAACUCCGUGCCAGCAGCCGCGGUAAUACGGAGGAUGCGAGCUUUAUCCGGGUUUAGUGGGUUGAAAGGGUGCGCAGGCGGUCUGUUAAGUCAGCGGUCAAAGCCCGGGGCUCAACCCCGGCCCGCCGUUGAAACUGGCAGUCUCGAGUUGGAGAGAAGUAUGCGGAAUGCGCGGUGUAGCGGUGAAAUGCAUAGAUAUCGCGCAGAACUCCGAUUGCGAAGGCAGCAUGCCGGCUCCACACUGACGCUGAGGCACGAAAGCGUGGGUAUCGAACAGGAUUAGAUACCCCAGUAGUC